rnacentral:rRNA from 1 species
UCCGUAGGUGGCGAGCGUUGUCCGGAUUUACUGGGCGUAAAGAGCGCGCAGGCGGUCGUACAAGUCGCGUGUGAAAGCCCCCGGCUCAACUGGGGAGGGUCACGCGAUACUGUUCGACUCGAAGGCAGGAGAGGGAAGUGGAAUUCCCGGUGUAGUGGUGAAAUGCGUAGAUAUCUGGAGGAACACCGGUGGCGAAGGCGGCAUCCUGGACUACUACUGACGCUGAGGAGCGAAAGCCAGGGGAGCAAACGGG